rnacentral:ncRNA from 1 species
AUGAUCGCUGACGGGAGAGUUUACAAUGUUCGUGUUUUUUGGGACAUGUAGCGCCGAAGGAGCAAGCGGGGGUUCUGCCCAAGAACACCUUGCGAAUCUCUCAGGCAUAAGGACCGUUGCGGGACG